rnacentral:piRNA from 2 species
GUGGAGAGGAACAAUUCUGAGUCUU